rnacentral:rRNA from 1 species
CCUGGGAGGCAGCAGUGGGGAAUAUUGGACAAUGGGGGGAACCCUGAUCCAGCGACGCCGCGUGAGUGAAGAAGUAUUUCGGUAUGUAAAGCUCUAUCAGCAGGGAAGAAAGAAAUGACGGUACCUGACUAAGAAGCCCCGGCUAACUACGUGCCAGCAGCCGCGGUAAUACGUAGGGGGCAAGCGUUAUCCGGAUUUACUGGGUGUAAAGGGAGCGUAGACGGCGAUGCAAGUCUGAAGUGAAAGGCGGGGGCCCAACCUCCGGACUGCUUUGGAAACUGUAUGGCUGGAGUGCAGGAGAGGUA